AACGAACGCUGGCGGCAGGCUUAACACAUGCAAGUCGAACGCAUCCUUCGGGGUGAGUGGCAGACGGGUGAGUAACGCGUGGGAACGUGCCCUUCAGUUCGGGAUAACCCAGGGAAACUUGGGCUAAUACCGGAUACGUGCGAGAGCAGAAAGAUUUAUUGCUGAAGGAUCGGCCCGCGUCCGAUUAGCUAGUUGGUGGGGUAAUGGCCCACCAAGGCGACGAUCAGUAGCUGGUCUGAGAGGAUGAUCAGCCACAUUGGGACUGAGACACGGCCCAAACUCCUACGGGAGGCAGCAGUGGGGAAUAUUGGACAAUGGGCGCAAGCCUGAUCCAGCCAUGCCGCGUGAGUGAUGAAGGCCUUAGGGUUGUAAAGCUCUUUCGUCCGGGACGAUAAUGACGGUACCGGAAGAAGAAGCCCCGGCUAACUUCGUGCCAGCAGCCGCCGUAA
rnacentral:rRNA from 1 species